AUUGAACGCUGGCGGCAGGCCUAACACAUGCAAGUCGAACGGUAGCACAGAGAGCUUGCUCUCGGGUGACGAGUGGCGGACGGGUGAGUAACGUCUGGGAAACUGCCCGAUGGAGGGGGAUAACUACUGGAAACGGUAGCUAAUACCGCAAAACGUCGCAAGACCAAAGUGGGGGACCUUCGGGCCUCACACCAUCGGAUGGGCCCAGAUGGGAUUAGCUAGUAGGUGGGGUAAUGGCUCACCUAGGCGGCGAUCCCUAGCUGGUCUGAGAGGAUGACCAGCCACACUGGAACUGAGACACGGUCCAGACUCCUACGGGAGGCAGCAGUGGGGAAUAUUGCACAAUGGGCGCAAGCCUGAUGCAGCCAUGCCGCGUGUAUGAAGAAGGCCUUCGGGUUGUAAAGUACUUUCAGCGGGGAGGAAGGCGGUGAAGUUAAUAGCUUAACCGAUUGACGUUACCCGCAGAAGAAGCACCGGCUAACUCCGUGCCAGCCGCCGCAGUAA
rnacentral:rRNA from 1 species